rnacentral:lncRNA from 1 species
CUUUUGAAAACUGUGCUACUUCCUUCUGGCUUCCAUGAUUUUUGAGCCAGGUGCCAGGCAACUGGCAGCCAUCUCUAUCCUCCAGAGCCUGCUGAAUUAUCCACACUAGCCAAUCCUCAGCCUGUGGAGCCUGCCUCACCCAUUCCUUCCUGCAAAGCCCACAGUAAAGACUCUGCCUGCAUGCUCUUGCCUGCUCCUUCUGCCUCUGGUGCUUCCCCAUGUGGUUCUGCAUGCUCCUCCUCCAGGAAACUGUGAGUAACAAACUCUCUUUUCAAUGGCAGUUGUCUUCUGAUCUGUUGGCUUUACCACACAUAAAUAAUAAUAAUGCUUCCAUUUUAUAACAGAUAUAUGAAAAUCUACCCAAAUCCUCCUAUUUUGAGUCUCAGAUGUCUAAUCUUUCCCCCAACCCUACCUUUCACAUGAGAGACCUAGAAAGGCUGUGAAUUGUAUUUAUAUUGUAUUCAUGCAAUCAAUAGGAUUAAAUUUGGAGCCCAAGUAUUUGCUACACUGGUUCUACAGCUACAAGAGAGAAGAGGCUUGGCCGGGCACGGUGGCUCACGCCUGUAAUCCCAGUA